ensembl:lncRNA
GAUGCACACUUCCUGUAAAAAGCGCAGAAAUCGAAAGUACCCCGCUGGUUUGCGCCAUUUUCUAGAUUUCGCCUGCAGGCUCUGUGUCAUCUGGUGCGUGGUUGGAUUAACGUAAGCAGACAUGAAUGUUCCACUGCUGCUCCUUGGUGCUCUGGAAGACCUGCUUGAUGAGUACUUCAAAACAUUUAAGUGGUACCUCUCAAUGAGGGUCUUGGACAGCUGUGAACCCAUUCCCAAAAGUCGUCUGGAGAAGGCGCUCCGGCCUGAAACUGUCAGUAAGAUGAUAGAAUGCUAUGGCGAAGAGCUGGCUGUGGAAGUUACUGUCAAAAUCCUGAGGAACAUGAGGAUGAACAGUGCUGCAGAAGAGUUAAAGAAAGCACACACAGCGAGGGAAACAUCUGCACCCUCCACCUCUUCUCCUGCUGUGACACCUGCUACUGCUGCACCUGCAAUAUCAGCUCAGCAAGGGGGAGUGAUCAUAGCCCCGAUGGUCCACGGUGGCUCCACGGUGGGGGCGUGGAAUAUAACCAUCAACAAACCAAAUGAAUGAAAUGAAUGAAUUCAGGGCAGGUCAACUAGAAGUUAGGUUUCAUUCAUUUGUUCUUUACACAGUGAGACCAUAUCUCUUUGUAUCUCUCUGUAUAAACAUCCAGCAGCUCAGGGUUAUGAAUUCAGAGUUUUAUAUAUGUACUGUAUAUAUAUAUGUAUAUAUAUACAUAUAUAUAUAUGUCCUGUGGUGGUAAAUUCAGUGCACAUUGUAGUCAUUAAAAUAUUUGCAGAUAGGAGAUUUACUACUAUCAUGCUUUACAUGUUAUCCAGGCAUGUGGAUACCAAGACACUGUUUACCCAUGAAUUUGUAAUAAAAUAUUUUUUACCUCAUGUAAUGAUGAAGAAUGUAAUUUAUUCUUAAUAGAUAGUGUCUUCUCAAAACUUUAUUGAUUAAUGUCUUCCCA